rnacentral:rRNA from 1 species
AUUGAACGCUGGCGGCAGGCCUAACACAUGCAAGUCGAACGAGUGGCGGACGGGUGAGUAAUGUCUGGUAAACUGCCUGAUGGAGGGGGAUAACUACUGGAAACGGUAGCUAAUACCGCAUACCAUCAGAUGUGCCCAUAUGGGAUUAGCUUGUUGGUGGGGUAAUGGCUCACCAAGGCGACGAUCCCUAGCUGGUCUGAGAGGAUGACCGGCCACACUGGACCUAGGACACGGUCCAGACUCCUACGGGAGGCAGCGGUGGGAAAUAUUGCACAAUGGGCGCAAGCCUGAUGCGGCAAUGCCGCGUGUAUGAAGAAGGCCUUCGGGUUGUAAAGUACGUUCAGCGGGGAGGCGUUACCCGCAGAAGAAGCAACGGCUAACUCCGUGCCAGCAGCCGCGGUAAUAC